rnacentral:rRNA from 1 species
GAUGAACGCUGGCGGCGUGCCUAAUACAUGCAAGUAGAACGCUGAAGCUUGGUGCUUGCACCGAGCGGAUGAGUUGCGAACGGGUGAGUAACGCGUAGGUAACCUGCCUCUUAGCGGGGGAUAACUAUUGGAAACGAUAGCUAAUACCGCAUAAAAGUCGAUAUCGCAUGAUAUUGAUUUGAAAGGUGCAAAUGCAUCACUAAGAGAUGGACCUGCGUUGUAUUAGCUAGUUGGUGAGGUAACGGCUCACCAAGGCGACGAUACAUAGCCGACCUGAGAGGGUGAUCGGCCACACUGGGACUGAGACACGGCCCAGACUCCUACGGGAGGCAGCAGUAGGGAAUCUUCGGCAAUAGGGGCAACCCUGACCGAGCAACGCCGCGUGAGUGAAGAAGGUUUUCGGAUCGUAAAGCUCGGUUGUAAGAGAAGAACGAGUGUGAGAGUGGAAAGUUCACACUGUGACGGUAACUGACCAGAAAGGGACGGCUAACUACGUG